CAGGAGACUGCUUCCUGCUGUAGAUGAGCAACCAAGAACUACGCAUGAAAUUGUGCCACGGCUUUGGAACGAACGGAGCCAGGCCAAGAGAAUGCUCGGCGGAAAUGGAGCCCAUAGAGAAAGCAAGAACAAGAUGGGUGGCAGGAGUAUUAUCAUAAGGAGACUUGGAAACCGGAGGAGGAAUGGAGGGAAGAAGGGAGAUGGUUUGUUAAAGAAGAAUGGUAGAAAGUGUAAGCAGAUGGAGCUGGAGAAAUGGAAGUGAAUGAGGGUGAAGUUAUGGAGAGACCGAGGUAUUCUCCCAGGAUCAGGAACAACACAAGUUUGUGACAGUGUUGCCAACUUCUCAGUAAGGAAAGUAGCUAUUGGCUGUACUUUUUUUAAUUAAAUGUUUUUUUAUUUUUAUAUACUGUAUUAUUCUGCAUUAUUUUCUAUAUUUCUGCAUUUGAGAAUAAUGUAACCAACCUAUUGUCUUCUAAUGUAAUGUGUCUGACUGUCUUGAUGGACACAAAUUAUGAGGAAAAAUAAGAGUAACUCAACAUUUUAUUCCUUCUUCAUAAUACAUUAAUUAAAAUAUUACA